UACGUAGGGGGCAAGCGUUGUCCGGAUUUAUUGGGCGUAAAGAGCGUGUAGGCGGCCAGGUAGGUCUGCUGUGAAAACUCGAGGCUUAACCUCGAGCUGUCGGCGGAAACCAUCUGGCUAGAGUCCGGAAGAGGAGAAUGGAAUUCCCGGUGUAGCGGUGAAAUGCGCAGAUAUCGGGAAGAACACCCGUGGCGAAAGGCGGUUCUCUGGG
rnacentral:rRNA from 1 species